GACGAACGCUGGCGGCGUGCUUAACACAUGCAAGUCGAACGGUAAGGCCCUUCGGGGUACACGAGUGGCGAACGGGUGAGUAACACGUGGGUGAUCUGCCCUGCACUUCGGGAUAAGCCUGGGAAACUGGGUCUAAUACCGGAUAGGACUCCGGACUGCAUGGUCUGGGGUGGAAAGCUUUUGCGGUGUGGGAUGGGCCCGCGGCCUAUCAGCGUGUUGGUGGGGUGAUGGCCUACCAAGGCGACGACGGGUAGCCGGCCUGAGAGGGUGACCGGCCGCACUGGGACUGAGACACGGGCCAGACUCCUACGGGAGGCAGCAGGGUGGAAUAUUGCACAAUGGGCGCAAGCCUGAUGCAGCGACGCCGCGUGAGGGAUGACGGCCUUCGGGUUGUAAACCUCUUUCAGCACCGACGAAGCGCAAGUGACGGUAGGUGCAGAAGAAGGACCGGCCAACUACGUGCCAGCCGCCGCCGUAA
rnacentral:rRNA from 1 species